rnacentral:tmRNA from 1 species
GGGGACGUUUUGGAUUUGACAGGAUGUUUGGUGAAAAUAGGCUGCGAGUCCGUGCGCUGUUCACGGUUAUCAACGAGCAAAACAAAUUAAAUGCUAAAAAUGAUAAUGUAAUCAAAGCAGAUUUCUCUAGAGCUUAUGCUUUAGCUGCAUAAUCCUUUGAUGAAUAGCUACUUAUAAGUCCCAUCUUGCCGGAUUUAUGGGUCAAUUAUGCAAGAUGCAGUAUAGUAAUUGAUGGUAACUAUAUCAAGAUUUAACCAUCAAAGGUUUAGAGUUUCCUUUAAAUAAAACCUAGGACUGAUUUAUAGGGUUGUGAUUUUUUCCUGAAUCAGUUGAGAAAAUUAAAAUCUACACUCGUAGAGGUUUAUUUUUAUCCAUUUUGGACGUGGGUUCGACUCCCACCGUCUCCACCA